rnacentral:rRNA from 1 species
UACGUAGGGUGCGAGCGUUGUCCGGAAUUAUUGGGCGUAAAGAGCUCGUAGGCGGUCUGUCGCGUCGAAUGUGAAAACCCGGGGCUCAACUCCGGGCUUGCAUUCGAUACGGGCAGGCUAGAGUUCGGUAGGGGAGUCUGGAAUUCCUGGUGUAGCGGUGAAAUGCGCAGAUAUCAGGAGGAACACCGGUGGCGAAGGCGGGACUCUGGGCCGAUACUGACGCUGAGGAGCGAAAAGCGUGGGGGAGCGAACAGG